UGUUUUGGAGAGGAUUUUGCUAAUGAAGAGCAGCAGAUUAGAAGCAGGGCUGAUACAGGGCAAAGUAGAGUUCUGCCAUAGGUAACCUCGCAAGCUUCAUGGUCAACAGCACAACCAGGUGGAGUGCAAGCUGGAACAACUGUUGCAGUGGCUGAACUUUGCUGAUGCUUCGGAUUGCUGAACGUGUCCACUGUUGGUCUGGAUCUCAUAUCCUCCCUUGAUCAUCUGUUAAGGCUGACUGUUUCCUGCAGCUUCYCUCUGUUGCUGCUACCCUGUAGGAUAGCUCUGACUGCAAGGAGAGUGGUGUGCUGGAAAAGGCGGAAUUAUCAGCUCCUCUGAGUCAA